UACGUAGGUGGCAAGCGUUGUCCGGAUUUACUGGGCGUAAAGAGCGCGCAGGCGGUCGUUCAAGUCGCGUGUGAAAGCCCCCGGCUCAACUGGGGAGGGUCACGCGAUACUGAUCGACUCGAAGGCAGGAGAGGGUAGUGGAAUUCCCGGUGUAGUGGUGAAAUGCGUAGAUAUCGGGAGGAACACCAGUGGCGAAGGCGGCGACCUGGCCAAUCACUGACACUGAGACGCGAAAGCGUGGGUAGCAAACAGG
rnacentral:rRNA from 1 species